rnacentral:rRNA from 1 species
AGAGUUUGAUCAUGGCUCAGGAUGAACGCUAGCUACAGGCUUAACACAUGCAAGUCGAGGGGCAGCACAGUGUAGCAAUACACGGGUGGCGACCGGCGCACGGGUGCGUAACGCGUAUCCAACCUUCCCGUUACUCUUGGAUAGCCUUCCGAAAGGGAGAUUAAUACAAGAUGGUAUUCAAAUUCCGCAUGUUAUUUGAAUUAAAGAUUUAUCGGUAACGGAUGGGGAUGCGUGACAUUAGAUAGUAGGCGGGGUAACGGCCCACCUAGUCUACGAUGUCUAGGGGUUCUGAGAGGAAGGUCCCCCACACUGGAACUGAGACACGGUCCAGACUCCUACGGGAGGCAGCAGUGAGGAAUAUUGGUCAAUGGCCGGGAGGCUGAACCAGCCAAGUAGCGUGAAGGAUGAAGGUUCUAUGGAUUGUAAACUUCUUUUAUACGGGAAUAACACCAUCUACGUGUAGAUGUCUGCAUGUACCGUAUGAAUAAGCAUCGGCUAACUCCGUGCCAGCAGCCGCGGUAAUACGGAGGAUGCGAGCGUUAUCCGGAUUUAUUGGGUUUAAAGGGAGCGUAGACGGGAUGUUAAGUCAGUUGUGAAAUGCUGUGGCUCAACCAUAGCACUGCAGUUGAUACUGGCGUUCUUGAGUGCGUAUGAGGUAUGUGGAAUUCGUGGUGUAGCGGUGAAAUGCUUAGAUAUCACGAAGAACUCCGAUUGCGAAGGCAGCGUACCAAUCCGUAACUGACGUUGAUGCUCGAAAGUGUGGGUAUCAAACAGGAUUAGAUACCCUGGUAGUCCACGCAGUAAACGAUGGAUGUUAGCUGUUCGGAGCGAAUGAGUUCUGAGUGGCACAGCGAAAGCGUUAAACAUCCCACCUGGGGAGUACGCCGGCAACGGUGAAACUCAAAGGAAUUGACGGGGGCCCGCACAAGCGGAGGAACAUGUGGUUUAAUUCGAUGAUACGCGAGGAACCUUACCCGGGCUCAAACGGCACAGUGAUACUUUUGAAAGGAGGUAGCUCUACGGAGACUGUGCCGAGGUGCUGCAUGGUUGUCGUCAGCUCGUGCCGUGAGGUGUCGGCUUAAGUGCCAUAACGAGCGCAACCCCUAUUGUCAGUUGCCAGCAGGUAAAGCUGGGGACUCUGACGAGACUGCCGGCGCAAGCUGAGAGGAAGGCGGGGAUGACGUCAAAUCAGCACGGCCCUUACGUCCGGGGCGACACACGUGUUACAAUGGCAGGCACAGCGGGAAGCCACCCGGCGACGGGGAGCGGAACCCGAAAGCCUGUCUCAGUUCGGAUCGGAGUCUGCAACUCGACUCCGUGAAGCUGGAUUCGCUAGUAAUCGCGCAUCAGCCAUGGCGCGGUAAAUACGUUCCCGGGCCUUGCACUCACCGCCCGU